rnacentral:tRNA from 1 species
GGGCAGGUAUCCAAGCGGCCAAAGGAAGCUGACUGUAAAUCAGAUGGCAUUAGCCUUCGGAGGUUCGAAUCCUUCCCUGCCCAC